AGAUAUCCAGCCAACUAGAGAACAUUGUGAGAAGAUAUUAAAUUUAGAUAUUAAUAUAUUUUUAAAUUGCACAAGAAUGAGAAACAUGGAUUUCCAAACUGCCUUGGCUCAUUGGAUGGUAAGCACAAAAAAUAAAAUGUCCUGCAAAAUUUUUAAAUCAAAUGCUUGGUUUAACUUAUAGCAAUUACAAAUUUAUAUAUAUAGAUGUGAUGGUGGCACUUUCAGAAAUUGUUUAUAUCAAUAGUUAGAAAAUCAAACAUUUUAGAUUGCAUAAGAAUAUUUUGAGAAACAUGGAUUUCCAAACUGCCUUGGCUCAUUAGGUGGUAAGCUCAUAAAAAUAAAAAGUCUUGCCAAAUCUUUAAAUCAAUUGCUUGGUUUAGCUGAUAGCAAUUACAAAUUUAUAUAUAUAGAUGUGAUGGUCCUACUUUCAGAAAUAGUAGUUUAAAUCAAAAGUUAGAAAAGCAAACAUUUUAAAUUGCACAAGAUUAUUUUGAGAUACAUGGAUUUCCAAACUGCCUUAGCUCAUUAGAUGGUAAGUACAUAAAAAUAAAGUCCUGCAAAACCAUUAUUAGAAACCCUAUAGGAAGGAUCCAUUUCACAUUGAAUUUUAUACAACUAUAUAUCUUUUUAAUUGGGUAAUUUUUAUUCAUAAGUAAAUAUUUUCAUCUCUUAUC